rnacentral:rRNA from 1 species
UACGUAGGGUGCAAGCGUUUGUCCGGAAUUAUUGGGCGUAAAGAGCUCGUAGGCGGUCUGUCGCGUCUGCUGUGAAAACUCAGGGCUCAACCCCGGACUGCGGUGGGUACGGGCAGACUAGAGUGUGGUAGGGGAGACUGGAAUUCCUGGUGUAGCGGUGAAAUGCGCAGAUAUCAGGAGGAACACCGAUGGCGAAGGCAGGUCUCUGGGCCACUACUGACGCUGAGAAGCGAAAGCGUGGGGAGCGAACAGG